rnacentral:rRNA from 1 species
AUGAACGCUGGCGGCGUGCCUAAUACAUGCAAGUCGAGCGAACGGACGAGAAGCUUGCUUCUCUGAUGUUAGCGGCGGACGGGUGAGUAACACGUGGAUAACCUACCUAUAAGACUGGGAUAACUUCGGGAAACCGUAGCUAAUACCGGAUAAUAUUUUGAACCGCAUGGUUCAAAAGUGAAAGACGGUCUUGCUGUCACUUAUAGAUGGAUCCGCGCUGCAUUAGCUAGUUGGUAAGGUAACGGCUUACCAAGGCAACGAUGCAUAGCCGACCUGAGAGGGUGAUCGGCCACACUGGAACUGAGACACGGUCCAGACUCCUACGGGAGGCAGCAGUAGGGAAUCUUCCGCAAUGGGCGAAAGCCUGACGGAGCAACGCCGCGUGAGUGAUGAAGGUCUUCGGAUCGUAAAACUCUGUUAUUAGGGAAGAACAGAUGUGUAAGUAACUGUGCACAUCUUGACGGUACCUAAUCAGAAAGCCACGGCUAACUACGU